GUUUUCAUGGCCCAUUUCUUCAGAAAUGGAUGGUGAGGUCCUUCCUCCUAGUCUGUCUUAGUCUGGAUGCUCUGCUGAAGCCUGUCCACCAUGGGUGACCCUGCUGUAUUUGAAAUACUGGUGACAUAGCAUUCAACUUCACAAUACCACACAGCUACCACAGUAUGACAGCCAACAAAUGGAUGGUGUGGUUCCCUGACCAGGAAAUAAACCUGGGCUGCAGAGGAGAUCUCAGGAAAAUCUUCGACAUCAGACUGAGGCCCUGUAUUGCUACAGGUAACACUGUUUCACUCUCAUGAAAAGCAGAUGAAGUGAAGAGAUUCUGACUCUUGUCUGUUUUUAAGUAAGGUGUGGUAGGCAGCCUCCAAGAUGGCUCCGGAUGGUCCCCUUCUUGGUACUCACAUGCUGGUGUAAUCUCCUCCCCUCCAGUUGAGUUUACUGACGAGCCUCAACAAAUAGAAUAUGACCAAUAGAUGGAAUGCCACUCCUGAGAUUAGGUUCCGAAAGAUUGUAGUUGGAAUCUGGAAUUUUAAACAUUUUCCAUUCAAUAUCCCAAAGAACAAGUAAUUUCCAUUAAUUGAAGGCCAUAAAUUUCCAGAUUAAUAGGGCCCACUUCCUAUCUAGCAGAAAGAGGAAAAAAGACCAUACCAAAGCGUAUCAUCAAGAAAAUGCAGAACACUAGCACUAAAGAGAGGAUUCUAAGAGCUUCCUGACAUGAAAAAGCAGCAGGUCACGUAUGCUCAGGAAUUAUAAAGGCAUCAAGCUUCUGAGUGGCAAUACUGGCAGGUAGAAGACAAUAGAGAAAUGCUUCAUAGUCCUGAGGAAAUGAAUUCUAACUGGAAUUAUGUUCUCAACUCAACUAUAAAUCAAGUCUGAGGGUGGAAUAACAAUAUUCUCAGAUGUGCAAGAUGUCAACAUAUUCAUUGCCCACGGCCUCUCGCUCAGUGCAUAGGCGCAGAUAAGAGAAUCAAUGAAAAAGCCUGAGAUCCAGGAAACAGAGGGUUCCCAGGAGGAGAGAGAGACGACAAAGAAAAGAAGGCCCAUUAUGCCUGCUAUGCAGCUGGCCAAGGGGAACCCAGUCCACACUGGAGCCAGUGACAGGCUUCAUAGAGAAGUCCCCAAGGAAAACAGUAGAUCAGUAUUUUUAUAACAUCUGCAAGCUACUUUUAACUGCUCUGCUGUCCCAACCCAGUGUCCCAGAUGCAGAAUGCAUGUGUCUUUCUGGAAGCACACUCAGAGGCCAUCUCAAACAUGCAGAAGGAUUUAGAAACAUUCAGAACCAUCAUCUCAGACUUCAAAUUUGGAAUUUGAUAAACCUCCCCAUGAUGGCCAUUUAUGAUAUUUCUCGUCAAAAUUCCUUCUUCUGGGAAAUGCGUACCCAUCUCUUAGCCUGCAUCCUAGUCCAUGUGUUUGUAGAUAGAUUUUUCAUAAUUUAGUGUAAACCUAACACCAACUCUCCAUCAAACAUCAGUCACAAGGGUUGAGUUCAGAUUUGAGUAGAUGCUUUGCUCUCUUAGUAGGCACCGGUAAAUCUUUGUAGAAAUGCUUGUACUAUUCUGGGUGUUAAACAUUUUGAAUAUAUUGCGAGGUAAUCUUGCAGCUCUGUGAACACACUAUCAGCUACCUACAAACCAUCACAUAUUCAUUUAGUCCAUAUGGGUAAAUCUUAUGUUUCUAAAAAAUUAAGAAUCUUAUCAGUCUAAUUUUAGAGAACUUUUAGAACACACAGUUUUGAGGAAAAUGAUGAGGGAUUCGUGUGUUGAUCAUCUUCACAUCAUCUUCCCUCAACACUUAAUAAAACAUAGGCUAAUGCA
ensembl:lncRNA